CCAAUGGACACUCAAGCAAAACUCGAUGUCAGGACUUCUGCCAUGGGUUGACAUGACUGCCCUACGGCGUCUGUCGGCGCGUGUUCAGGCUCGGUGGAUCGCAGCUGCAGGGAUAGAUUCGCAAUCCCGUGUAAAGAAGAGUCAACCACUUCAUCUCAGACCGCAUAGGUCCCUGAGAAAUGACCUGUUCCACCGGCAUCAACGAAUGGAUGCUCGGCAACGUGGAAGCAGGGUUUCACCGGAUUCCAGGUAUCGAAUCGGGUACUGGCGGCGCCGGCAGGUGGAUGGGCGCAAUACCCCGAGAUCAGAACAGCACGUGACUUCUGACCACGCGACCAAUGGGUAUCCAUUUCUGCCCAGGAACUCCCCAGAGAGGAUCCGGGGGCCAAUCAGAAGCAGGGUGGCGACCAGAGGGCGACAGAGGGGUCGCUAUAGGCCGCGCGCGCGCGUGAAGCAGGUGUCUAAGGGGCCGGCAUUGGGCAAUCAGAAAAUAGGAUCCGGCAGGCCCUUCAC